AGAGGGAAGCCCAUGCUGGAGCAGGUUUUUUCCUGGGGACCAGGUCACAAAAUUAACUCCUCCAGGAACUGUUCGGUUAACAUCAACCGGCAGCCCAAAGAAACCAGUAUGAAUUAUCUUCAGAAGACUGCACUUCACCAAGAGCCUCUCAGUCUCAGGAAAAGUUCAGGGUUGUUAAUUAUGCAACUGAUUCCUUUGGUCUUCAAUUAUAUGCAUUAAUCACAAAUUAAGUGAUACACUUAAAAGAAACGUCUCUAAUUCUGUUAUUACCUGCUGAGAUGUGGAAACACAGGAAAACACUGUUGUUGCCAAAAUGGUAAGAUCGUUAUAAGGCUCUCCAUGCUUUAAGGAACCCUCUACAUUCAAUGUUUAUAAAAAAAGAAAGAAAAGGACAGGUGAGACAUUAUAUCUAAUUACAAACCUAUGUUUGAAAAAAUCUGAGUGAACUGACUUACUGAAA